GUCUGUCUGUGUAUAUGUCAGUAUGCCUGUGUGUGUGUGUCAAUGUGUCUGUCAGUGUAUGUGUCUGUGUGUUUUAGUAUAUCUGUCAGUGUAUGUGUUUGUGUGUGUGUCAGUAUAUCUGUUAAUGUAUGUGUCUGUGUAUGUAUGUAUGUAUGUAUGUCUGUGUGUGUGUCAGUAUGUCUGCCAGUAUAUAUUUGUGUGUAGUGACUGUGUGUGUCAGUAUGUAUCUGUGAAUGUUUUAAUGUCUGUCUGUGUGUGUAUGUGCCAGUACGUCUGUCAGUGUGAUUGCGGGUUGGACGUAAUUGGGGGGUGAGGCAGUGGCAGGGACAGGGCCCAUGGGGCCCAAGAAAAUGCAUUGCCCAGGGUCCUAAUCAUAUUAUAGACGGCCCUGACG